rnacentral:rRNA from 1 species
UACAGAGGGGGCAAGCGUUAUUCGGAAUUAUUGGGUUUAAAGGGUGCGUAGGCGGUCAUGUAAGUCAGUGCUGAAAUAUCCCGGCUUAACCGGGAGGGUGGCAUUGAUACUGUAUGACUUGAGUAAAGUUGAGGUUGGCGGAAUUGACGGUGUAGCGGUGAAAUGCUUAGAUAUCGUCAAGAACACCUAUUGCGAAGGCAGCUAACUAAGCUUUAACUGACGCUGAGGCACGAAAGUGUGGGGAUCAAACAGG